rnacentral:rRNA from 1 species
UACGAAAGGGGCUAGCGUUGAUCGGAAUUACUGGGAGUAAAGCGCACGUAGGCGGACUUUUAAGUCGGGGGUGAAAUCCUGGAGCUCAACUCCAGAACUGCCUUCGAAACUGAAAGCCUUGAGUUCGGGAGAGGUGAGUGGAACUGCGAGUGUAGAGGUGAAAUUCGUAGAUAUUCGCAAGAACACCAGUGGCGAAGGCGGCUCACUGGCCCGAUACUGACGCUGAGGUGCGAAAGCGUGGGGAGCAAACAGG